CUGAUAAGUGUCACAUGUGUCUGCUGGGACUGAUCAUUCUCACAGGAAAACUUAUUCUGGAACAACAGUCUGUGCUGUGAGAUGAGAACAGAGACACACUGAGCUUUAACCACUAACCAUCGACCAACUGCUGACUGAUGAGAAAACAUCAUUAGCUUCUGAGAGACAGAGACAAACUGAACCACAGUGAUCUGAACUGAAGACAGCGACUGUAACACAUUUCAGUUUCAUUCAGCAACAUGAACGGUGAAAAUCAGGCCUUGAUGGAUGAAUACAAUAAUCUUCCUACUGAUUAUGACACUUAUGUCUCUAACAAAACUCAACAUGAUUCUUCAGAAAUCAGAAUCAUAAUCUUCCUCAUCACUAGUGUUUGUGUGAGUCUUCCAGCUCUGGUUUGGGCUUUUCGUCUUCUGCACCUUCACAGAAAGAUCAGAGGCCGAAUCUCAAUCUUCAUCCUCUUCCUCCUCCUCAAUGACCUGAUACAAAUGCUCCUUCAUCUAUAUAUACUGGCAGGUAUACUGACAAGAUUCAGAUCCUUUAUCUUUGAGCUUGUCCAGUUUUGGUUGGGAUUAUAUUGGUGUGGUUUUCAUCUGCAUCAGCUGGUGGCUCUGGAGGGGAUUUUGACUCUGAAAUAUCCGCUUUGGUCUGCUCGUAUUUUCUCACUGCCCUGUUACAUCACAGUCUCCAUCCUUGUGCUUUUUUUUUCUAUAGUUAGUGCAUUAUUUCUUUAUAUUUCUUGUAUACAUCCACUUGAAAAUACAAACAUGUCAUUAUUCAGCAGUCUCUGCACAAGUGUUGUUCCUCUGAUCGUAUUGUCUGUAUCAUCUACAAUCAGCUGUAAAGCCUCUUCCACUCCUGUCAGAAAAAACUGUUCAGUGCUCACUGUUGCUAUUCUUACAUUUGUUAUGAUGUACUUACCUUUCAUUUUGAUCCUGAGUGUGAUUUUAUUUCAUUUACAUCCAUAUGUCAACCCAUCUUGGUUCAUAAUGUCUUUAUGUUUGAUGAAUUUGAGAGUGUUUUCAGACCCUAUUCUGUGUGUUUUGGUCUGCAGAGAAAAUCUCAGAGAUGUUCAGACGCCACAAACACACACAGAACCCAACGCUGAUGAGACGUCAGUCUGAACUUGAGUUUCAUUAGUCCUCACGUCUGAAUCUGGCUUCAAAACAUACACCCAUCAGUAUAAUGAAAAAUUAUUAAUAAAAUAAAUAAUAUAUGACUUAAAGAUUAA